ACGGGGUGCAGCAGGCGCGAAAACUUCGCAAUGCGGGAAACCGUGACGAGGGAAUUCCGAGUGCUCAUACAAUGUAUGGGCUUUUCUGACGUGUAAAAAGCAUCAGGAAUAAGGGCUGGGUAAGACCGGUGCCAGCCGCCGCGGUAAUACCGGCAGCUCUAGUGGUAGCCACUUUUAUUGGGCCUAAAGCGUCCGUAGCCGGUCAGGUAAAUCCUUGGGUAAAUCGUACAGCUUAACUGUGCGGCUUCCGAGGAGACUGCCUGACUUGGGACCGGGAGAGGUUGGAGGUACUCCUGGGGUAGGGGUGAAAUCCUGUAAUCCUAGGUGGACCACCGGUGGCGAAGGCGUCCAACCAGAACGGCUCCGACGGUGAGGGACGAAGGCUAGGGGCGCAAACCGGAUUAGAUACCCGGGUAGUCCUAGCUGUAAACGCUGCAGACUUGGUGUUGGAGAUCCCACGAGGGUGUCCAGUGCCGGAGAGAAGUUGUUAAGUUUGCCGCCUGGAAGUAUGUCGCAAGAC
rnacentral:rRNA from 1 species